UAAAUGUAAGGAAAUUAUAGAGAAGCAUAACGAGAAUUUAUAUGUUGAUUAACAAAGGAUUAUGGAUCCUGAAACUUAAAGAAGGGGAAUGCUUAUAUUUUCCAUAAACGAAAGUGGUGGUUCUAUGAUAACAGGAAUCAUUUGAAGAUGUGUUGUUUAGAAGGCGAUAAAAAAGUUCUGAUGAGAGAAAACAUGGAAGAAGGGAAAGGCAUAAAAGAGUGCAUUUUGGUAUUUGAAUGAAGAGUGUGGUGGAAAGCGGUUGCUGAACUCAAGCUGUGUCAAACUGCCUGACUACCCUGCUUUAUUGUUUGUGACGAGGGGUAAGGCUGGGUGAUAGCAAAAUAAAAUAUUGCUGGAAAUGCA
rnacentral:lncRNA from 1 species